rnacentral:pre_miRNA from 1 species
AGUGGGAUAGCUGGGUCAAAUGAUGGUUGCAUUCCAAGUUUUCUGAGGAAUCUCCAUAUUGCUUUCCAGAGUGGUGGCACCAGUUUUCAGUCCCACCAGCAAU